rnacentral:rRNA from 1 species
UACAGAGGUCUCAAGCGUUGUUCGGAUUCAUUGGGCGUUAAAGGGUGUGUAGGUGGCGCGCUAAGUCGGGUGUGAAAUUUCGGAGCUUAACUCCGAAACUGCAUUCGAUAACUGGCGUGCUUGAGGACUGGAGAGGAGACUGGAAUUUGACGGUGUAGCAGUGAAAUGCGUAGAUAUCGUGAAGGAAGACCAGUGGCGAAGGCGG